rnacentral:rRNA from 1 species
CCUACGGGAGGCAGCAGUAAGGAAUAUUGGUCAAUGGACGCAAGUCUGAACCAGCCAUGCCGCGUGAAGGAUUAAGGCCCUCUGGGUUGUAAACUUCUUUUAUAGGGGGCGAAAAAAGGGCAUUCUUGCUCACUUGACGGUACCCUAGGAAUAAGCACCGGCUAACUCCGUGCCAGCAGCCGCGGUAAUACGGAGGGUGCAAGCGUUAUCCGGAUUUACUGGGUUUAAAGGGUGCGUAGGUGGGUUGGUAAGUCAGCGGUGAAAUCUUCGAGCUUAACUCGGAAACUGCCAUUGAUACUAUCAAUCUUGAAUCAUCUAGAGGUAAGCGGAAUAUGUCAUGUAGCGGUGAAAUGCUUAGAUAUGACAUAGAACACCAAUUGCGAAGGCAGCUUACUAUGGAUGUAUUGACACUGAGGCACGAAAGCGUGGGGAUCAAACAGGAUUAGAUACCCUGGUAGUCCACGCCUAACGACUAGAUACUCACAUUAUGUAUAUAUAUAGUAGUNUGNGNGAAGACGAUAAGUAUACCGACCGUACGGAAGGUAACGUACCGACGAGUUAGUAACGUUACGAAAGAAGUUAGUUAGGCGUGAGACGAGCGACGGACGACGACGAGGGAGGAGG